GCCCGGGUGGCGGAAUCGGUAGACGCAGCAGACUCAAAAUCUGCCAUGGCAACCCCAUAUGAGAGUUCGAGUCUCUCCCCGGGCACCA
rnacentral:tRNA from 3 species